rnacentral:tRNA from 3 species
AGUAAGAGGAAAAUCCGUCGACUUUCAAGAUCGUGAGGGUUCAAGUCCCUC